rnacentral:hammerhead_ribozyme from 1 species
AUCCAGUUGACGAGUCCCAAAUAGGACAAAACGUGCGUCCUGGAU